AGAGAUCUGUUACAAAGGUGUUAAGAAACGGCCAUGGACGCCGCCCAGAUCCAUGACCCUGGCAAGACGCACGUCUGGCUCGGAACUUUCGAAACUGCAGAGGGGGCAGCGCGUGCGUACGGCGCCAAGGCUAAGACCAAUUUUCUGAUGGCGGCGGAGCUUCUGAACAACAGCAACAACUUCGUUCACAUUAACAAUAACACAUGUAGCCCGAGUCAGAGUAAUACGCUUGAUUCAUCUUCGCGGCUUCCGCCACCGCCACCGUCAGUGCAGUCCUAGCCGUAGUGCACGCUGAAAUCGUUUUCUCCGCCUUUACUUCUGCCGUCAUGGCGUUCCCAGCAGUGCGUUCUAUCAUGUUUUUUGAAAUGUUACAUCGUACGACGAAUCGAGAAUGAGCCGCCAGCGAGAUGUGUCUCAUAGGCAAUGCAACGACUUCGAUUCUUCUUCUGGAGUGGACUACGAGGGCAUGUCAUACAAGGGGCUAUUGGAUCUCGACCUCACCAUUGCUCCUGCGAUAAAAAUUGUGUGUUUAUCUACCUUAGAUUAGCUAUAAGCAUGUUUAUGUUAAUUUGGAUCAUAACAAAUGUCACAUUUUUAUUAGAUGGUCUAGGGGUGUACAUGGGUCGGGUGAAGCCGGGUUUGAUGUGACCCAAACCCGAUCCAAAAUAUAUACCGAAACCAAUACACUUUCGGGCCACAAUUAUACCGAGUGAAAAUCGGGUGAAAAUCGGGCCGUUAAUAUUACAUUACGUUGAUACCUUCUUGUAAGCUAGCAUGUAAAAAUAUCCAAAUUUUCAAGACUCCAACCAUUAUUUAACAUAGUAAAAUUCACUUAGAAAAAUAUAACA
rnacentral:lncRNA from 1 species